GGAAAAAGAAGUCAGGAAUGUACUGAAUUAGCUCAGCAAUGGUCAGCUGCAUAUUGAAUUUCUUUGAAAAAGACUUGGAUAGAUUUUAACUAGGAAGGGAUAGAGAUAUAGGAGAACAGGGGGGUAUCACUGCUGGCAAAUGAAAUUUUCAGAACUCACUGGUCAAAAAUCAAAAGUUUUAAAAAUUUAUUUACAGAUUUUCAAAUUAUUCCUAGUACAGGUGAAGACCUCAGCAUGGCAAGCAUAAGACUAUUAAAAUGCCGUCCCAGCUGUCUUGUGCGGACCCCUUCAAAGUUUAAUCCACUGGUCUGGUCUCCUGUUAAAUAUACCCUCAUUUAACAACUUGGAAACCCUGGAGCUCAUGGAUCCACCACACGAUGUCGAUAAGGUUUGUAAGCAGGGGAGGGGUGAAAAGACGUGUAGCUCGGUGCAGAAUGCGCCGUGUCCGGGAGAUGGAGGUGUUGGCCAGCCGCGCCCCGGAGAGGCCGCGAACGAGAGGCGGCGGCGCUGCACGGUCUGGGAGCCGCGCACGGAGAGCAGGCGCUGUGGAACCGUGCACAGGGGGACUUCAGCAAUGAAGGCAGGUAUGGGUUGUGCUGGCCAGCCACAGUGCCUGCUAGACUGCAGCCAGCUGGAGACACCUUUUUGUCCCAAAGCCUCUCUUCUGCAGCUGAACACUGAAGAAAGGCACUGAAGACAGGAAUUUGCAGAAGCUGAACAAUGAUAGUGGUGAAACCAUCUAUGAAGCCAUCUAUGACAGGCAGGUUGCCUGGAAAGACACUGUGAAUUCACCUCUGAUCCGCACCAGUAAAACCUCCUGUUAAAUGGAGAAAGUCAAGGCUGGUGCUUGUCUUCUUUCAUUGCCUUCUCAGGAUGUUCAGCUUGUGAUGACUGCAACAAAAGCAGACAUCUGACAUGUCUACUGGCCUCAGGGCAGUGGAGUGGCAUGACAGAGCUGCCAGUCCUGUGGCUUUGAUUGGCUUCCCCCUUUCAACCUCCUCAAUUUCUAUUUAGAAGUUGCAUGAGAUUUUUUAAACAAGUGCCUAAAUUAACUGGCACAAAUCAUCUUGCCCAGCUGAAUACCCAAGUGAAAUACUUUAUUUUUACAUAUCCAAGACAUUUAAAUGCUAUUUGACGACCUGGGUAGAGCAAAGACUGAAUAGUCAGGAUGCACAAUUUUCUUCAUUUAGUUUACUCUUUACCAGGUAGCCCAGGCUGAUGGUGACUGACACUCCUUGGCUCUUUGUGACAGUUUAUGUUUAUGCAGCAGCAGAUCUUAAGUGAGUACUAGUAUCAAAACAGUCAAUCAAUAUUGGCAGUAAGUGGUGGCUUUACUGCAAAUCCUUCAAGCAGAAAGAUUAAAACUAGGGGAAUGCAUUGAACUGCUUAGCCCUUAUCUCCUAAAUGCACAGCAUGACUUGAAGGCUGGGCCAUGAUGGCAGCCUGGAGUUUAGUGGGUGAUAGCAGUAGCUGCAUUCCAGAAGCUCAUUCCUCCUGGCUGGGCUGUGUGGGACUCAAUGGCCUUACCCAGGGCAGGGCAGGACUGCAACCGGGAGCAGGGCAGCAUGCCCAGCUCUGAUGGCACACCAGCAGUGAGCAAGGACAACUUCAUCAAAAAAGGCAGUGACAUUUAUAAGGAAGAAGAGAAAAAAUAUUACAAUUUCUCGUACCUGGACAGUAAAAGUGCAGAUGGCAGUGACAUUUAAGGGAAGAUGUGCAUGAACUAUGUCUUUCAAAACCUGAUAGUCAUUUGUAGAUGUAGACAGGUCUGUCAGAGCAGCUAAACCUUGAAACUAUUUUAAUACUACUUGUGAUUAAACUGCUAUGCCAGGCAAAAGCUAGAAGAGAAAAAGAUGCUUUCUUAGAAAGGGGCUGGUAGUAGCACAUGACCUUGGACAGUUUAUUAAGUAAGAAUCAAGUAAAAAGGUGCCUGGACAAAGGAAACCCCUAAAGCUUAUGACUAUUGGAAUUAAUAUGGUAAGACCUCAGGCAAAGACAGCAGAUGACAAUUAGUUCAGACUUAAUGGGCAGUGUUUGCAGAUGUACAAUACAUCUUGGAAAACACUGCAUUACUUGUUCAGGUUUCUGAAAAAUGUAGAAGUCAAUAAUAAAAUACAAAUUGUUAUAAAGACA
rnacentral:lncRNA from 1 species